UACAGAGGGGGCAAGCGUUAUUCGGAAUUAUUGGGCGUAAAGGGCGCGUAGGCGGUUUUUUAAGUCGGGUGUGCAAUCCCCAGGCUCAACCUGGGAACUGCAUCUGAGACUGGAAGGCUAGAGUACUGGAGAGGGUGGUGGAAUUCCUCGUGUAGCGGUGAAAUGCGUAGAGAUGAGGAGGAACACCAGUGGCGAAGGCGGCCCCCUGGACCAUAACUGACGCUGAGGCGCGAAAGCGUGGGUAGCAAACAGG
rnacentral:rRNA from 1 species